CUGAUUGAUUCUGUCAGCGAUAUAUGCAGUUUAAAGAUUAAGCAAAGCAUGUCGAGUUCAUCUAAAGAAAAACUGCGAACAGUUCAUUAGAACAGAUGCAACUUAUUCGGAAAGUCCUUUUGGAUAACUGCGGCGAUUCUGGAGCUAACACAUGCGAAUAAACCCUGACUUUCGAAACGGUGCAAUUAUUAGAGCAAAUCAAUCACAAUCUUUUUCGGAAUAUCGGCGGCUUGUCCGCCGAUAUUCCGAAAAAGUGUCUGCCCUAUCAACCUGAUAGUAGUCUAUUAGUCUACCAUGGUUAUUAUGGGUAACGAAAAAUAAGGGUUCGACUCCGGAGAGGGAGCUUUAGAAAUGGCUACCACAUGGAAGGAAGGCAGCAGGCGCGUAACUUAUCCACUCUUGAAAAGAUGAGAUAUUUAUUAAAAAACCUACACGGAAUAUAGU
rnacentral:ncRNA from 1 species